AGGCAACAAACUACCAAGUUAUUAUUAUUCAGGAGAAAAACCUUAUAAACAUGUAAAAGGAUUUUAUUCUGUCACAGAUGCCCUUAGAAAAUAAUGAAAUGGAGUUGGAAAAUUGAUGAUUUGACGUUAAGGAAUCAUCACACCUGCAGGAUGAUGCCAGAAGUUUGACUACCGAGGCUCCAUGUUUUUAGCUUAAAAGUUUAAUCAAUAUUAAAAUAUUUGCCUGCUCCUUCCCUCCAUCCAAGAAAUCUCUGGAAUAACUAACAUUCAAAUCUCUGUCAACUAUACCAUGCCACAAAGUCACUACAGAUAAGAAGAGGAA
rnacentral:lncRNA from 1 species